AGAGUUACCUGAGUUGCGCUGAGCGCGCGUAUCCCUGGAAAUAGCGGAGGCGCGCGAACAGGUAGAACAGUCCGCACAGGGCUGCGGCUCCUGCGAGAGUCGAUGCAAGGCGACGCGGUGAGCACGAGCUCCCGCCAUCCGGGAUCACCCCCACCCCCGAAGUGUGCCCCCACGCUGCCCCGCACCUUCGUGGAAGAAGAUGCCGGCGACCCAGAGUGUGGCGAGGAACAGCGGAAAGUACUCGCUGCAGUUUACCCUGCGAGGGGUAGGCUGGGUGAGCGCGUGGUUCACCUUGGCUGACACCCGAACCCGCCCGGACCCGCCGCGCUCACUGGGCUCGGAAGACGCGCUCGAACUCGGGAGGGCCAGAGUACCCCCUUCAUGGAUCAAGAGAAGAUACUGAGCAUCAUAACCGCCUCAGAGAGCUGCUCCAGCUGUACAAGGUAGCCACUGGGGAAGAACUGCCCUUAUUCAUCGACAGACCAAAAGUACUGUCCAGGAAAGGACACAGGAUGUGGGAUAGUCGACAGCUUAGCUCUGCCAAGAAAGGCUCUCUGCAAAGCUUUACACUUGGGCUGUCAAGAUGGCUCAGCCAGUCUUCCACCACACCUGAUGGCAUGAUUAUAAUCCCGGGACUCACUUGGGGAAGCCAACUCCAGCAUGUUAUCUUCUAGUCUCCACAGGCAUGCUGUGGCAUACAUCUACUAACCGACAUCCACAUAUUUUUUAAAAAUGUAGUGAGAAAAAUUCAAAGUUGUGCUAUCCAAGUUGAAAUCCUACAUCAUCAAGGCCUCUUUCCCCCUCUAAAGGAGCCACUGAAAUGGAAACCCCUCUGCUUCCUUGGAGAGGCCUCUCUUGUAGGCCCAACCCCGGGUUGAACAGCUCAGCUAGCAUCACGUCAGUGAAAAGGCCCUUCCUCUGUAGAGAAAGCUGAAGUCUCAACUCACAAGACCCUCACAUCAAGCUCUAAUAUGGUAACAUCAACCUGACAUGGCAAAUCUAUCUGCUCAGGGUUUCACAUUCAAAGGACUUACUGACAAGUCAGACUCAAGUCGCUUUUUAAAGCUAAGCUUGGUGGUGUUCAUCUUUAAUCUCAGCACUUGGGAAGGAGGAACAAGCGGAUCUCUGAAUUUGAGGCCAGCCUGGUCUACAGAGCAAGUUCCAGAACAGCCAGGACGACACACACACACAAACAUGGUGUGCCCACCAAAAAUAAAUAAAUAAAAGUUUUUAUUUUU
ensembl:lincRNA Gm26542 predicted gene, 26542